rnacentral:rRNA from 1 species
CAAUAGCGUAUAUUAAAGUUGUUGCGGUUAAAAAGCUCGUAGUUGGAUUUCUGCUGAGGACGACCGGUCCGCCCUCCGGGUGAGCAUCUGGUUCGGCCUUGGCAUCUUCUUGGUGAACGUAUCUGCACUUGACUGUGUGGUGCGGUACCCAGGACUUUUAGCUUGAUGGAAAUUAUGAGGUAUGUUUCAAGCUAAGGCAGUACGCCUUGAAUACAUUAGCAUGGAAUAAUAAGAUAGGACCUCGGUUCUAUUUUGUUGGUUCUAGAGCUGAGGUAAUGAUUAAUAGGGAUAGUUGGGGGCAUUCGUAUUUAACUGUCAGAGGUGAAAUUCUUGGAUUUGUUAAAGACGGACAAUUGCGAAAGCAUUUGCCAAGGAUGUUUUCAUUGAUCAAGAAC